rnacentral:misc_RNA from 1 species
CAGAGCUAGCAGCAGCCGGU